AAGGGUGUAGCUCAGUGGUAAAGUGUGUGCUUAGCAUGCAUGAGGUCCUGGGUUCUAUCCCCAGUACCUUCU
rnacentral:tRNA from 1 species